rnacentral:rRNA from 1 species
ACUCAAAUGAAUAGACGGGGGCCCGCACAAGCAGCGGAGCAUGUGGUUUAAUUCGAAGCAACGCGAAGAACCUUACCUAGACUUGACAUCUCCUGCAUUACCUCCAAAAAGGGAAAUCCCUUCGGGGACAGGAUGACAGGUGGUGCAUGGUUGUCGUCAGCUCGUGUCGUGAGAUGUUGGGUUAAGUCCCGCAACGAGCGCAACCCCUAUUGUUAGUUGCUACCAUUAAGUUGAGCACUCUAGCGAGACUGCCCGGGUUAACCGGGAGGAAGGUGGGGAUGACGUCAAAUCAUCAUGCCCCUUAUGUCUAGGGCUACACACGUGCUACAAUGGCAAGUACAACGAGAUGCAAGACCGCGAGGUGGAGCUAACCUAUAAAACUUGUCUCAGUUCGGAUUGUAGGCUGAAACUCGCCUACAUGAAGCUGGAGUUGCUAGUAAUCGCGAAUCAGAAUGUCGCGGUGAAUACGUUCCCGGGCCUUGCACACACCGCCCGU